rnacentral:rRNA from 1 species
UACGUAGGGUGCGAGCGUUAAUCGGAAUUACUGGGCGUAAAGCGUGCGCAGGCGGUUUUUUAAGUCUGACGUGAAAUCCCCGGGCUUAACCUGGGAAUUGCGUUGGAGACUGCAAGGCUGGAGUCUGGCAGAGGGGGGUAGAAUUCCACGUGUAGCAGUGAAAUGCGUAGAGAUGUGGAGGAACACCGAUGGCGAAGGCAGCCCCCUGGGUCAAGACUGACGCUCAUGCACGAAAGCGUGGGGAGCAAACAGG